UUACGUCCAUAUCACGUCGAAACACCAGUUUCCGUACGAUCACCGAAGUUAAGCAAUGUCGAGCCUGGUCAGUACUUUAGAUAGGUGAUCGCUUAGAAAUAUCAGGUGCUGUAAG